AUGGAAACGACUACAGAAGAAAAGAUAUCAAAUGAUAGAGGCAUUACGGUCUCCUCGAGCUUCUACGUAAGGAGGUUUCUGCACUACCACUCUACCAUUGAUGGUCAUCCUCAUCUACCCCAAAGCAUGCCUCCAUAUUGUAGUAGAGCUUACAAUGAAUUCCUCCUCAUCAAGUUUCAAUCCAAUGUCCUCCAAGAUUUUCGUUACUAUAUCAUAAUAUGGCAACCGCAAAAUCCCCUUUCUUCGACUUUCCAUCAUGUGAUAGAUGACCUUGCUUGCCCAAUUGACUUCAACUUUAUUUGCUAG